AGUGAUCGCUUGGCUUGGCAUUUCUGGCUUGGCGGUCCUCCUUUCGCAGAUUGGAAACCGCGGGCUAUCCUGCUGGGAGGUUGUGGCCGAGGCAGUAGCUCGCUACUGAUGGCCUCCUGGGGUGGAGAAAAGCGGGGAGGGGCUGAGGGGUCUCCGAAGCUGGCAGUCUACGCCACGAGGAAGACCCGUAGCGUCAGGAGCCAGGAGGACCAGUGGUACUUGGGCUACCCGGGGGACCAGUGGUCUUCGGGCUUCUCCUACAGCUGGUGGAAAAAUAGCGUCGGCAGCGAGAGCAAGCACGGUGAGGGCGCCUUAGACCAGCCCCAGCACGACGUCCGCCUGGAAGAUCUUGGCGAGCUCCACAGAGCUGCCCGGUCGGGCGACGUCCCUGGGGUGGAGCACGUCUUGGCUCCUGGAGACACUGGCGUGGACAAGAGGGAUAGGAAGAAGAGCAUUCAGCAACUAGUUCCUGAAUAUAAGGAAAAACAGACACCUGAAAGUCUUCCUCAAAAUAACAAUCCAGAUUGGCAUCCUACUAAUUUGACCCUUAGUGAUGAGACUUGUCAGAGAUCCAAGAAUCUGAAAGUUGGUGAUAAAAGUCCAUCUGUAUCACCAUCAAUGCCUGAAAAUCAGUCAGCAACCAAAGAACUGGGACAGAUGAACUUAACAGAACGAGAAAAAAUGGACACUGGAGUUGUACUUCUCUCAGGGAAUGAUACUCUCCAUGACCUGUGCCAAUCACAGCUACCAGAAAACAAAGAGAGCAAAGAAGCAGAACAAGACUUGGAGCUGACAUCAGAGGAAGAGCAAGAAAGACUUAAAGGAUGCGAAAAUAAGCAGCCACAGAAAACGUCUCAAGAACCAGAAAUGGCUAAGGAUUGUGAUAGAGAGGAUAUACCUAUAUAUCCAGUACUUCCUCAUGUGCAAAAAUCUGAGGAAAUGUGGAUUGAACAAGGCAAAUUAGAGUGGAAAAACCAAUUAAAACUCGUCAUAAAUGAGUUAAAGCAGAGGUUUGGUGAAAUUUAUGAAAAAUACAAAAUUCCGGCUUGUCCUGAGGAAGAGCCACUACUUGAUAACUCUACAAGAGGAACAGAUGUGAAGGAUAUUCCCUUUAAUUUGACAAAUAACAUACCUGGUUGUGAGGAAGAAGAUGCAUCUGAAAUAUCUGUCUCAGUGGUAUUCGAGACAUUUCCUGAACAAAAAGAACCCAGUCUCAAAAAUAUCAUCCAUCCAUACUAUCAUCCGUACUCUGGGUCCCAGGAACAUGUUUGCCAGUCAUCUUCUAAGCUUCAUUUACAUGAAAAUAAAUUAGACUGCGACAAUGAUAACAAACUAGGCAUUGGACAUAUUUUUAGUACAGAUAACAACUUUCAUAAUGAUGCAAGCACUAAGAAAGCAAGGAACCCAGAAGUGGUUACGGUUGAAAUGAAAGAAGACCAAGAGUUUGAUUUGCAAAUGACAAAAAAUAUGAACCAAAAUAGUGACAGUGGCAGUACAAAUAACUAUAAAAGCCUGAAACCUAAAUUAGAAAAUCUGAGUUCUUUACCACCAGAUUCUGACAGAACAUCAGAAGUAUAUCUACAUGAAGAAUUACAGCAAGACAUGCAAAAGUUUAAGAAUGAGGUCAACACAUUAGAAGAAGAGUUCCUGGCUUUGAAGAAAGAAAAUGUUCAACUUCAUAAAGAGGUUGAAGAAGAAAUGGAGAAGCACAGAAGUAAUAGCACAGAAUUAUCAGGAACCCUAACUGAUGGUACUACUGUUGGCAAUGAUGAUGAUGGACUAAAUCAGCAGAUUCCUAGGAAGGAAAAUGAAGAGCAUGACAGGCCUGCAGAUAAAACAGCUAAUGAAAAGAACAAGGUCAAAAACCAAAUAUAUCCUGAGGCUGACUUUGCUGACUCAAUGGAGCCAUCUGAAAUAGCCUCAGAGGAUUGUGAAUUGUCUCACUCUGUUUAUGAGAAUUUUAUGUUGCUGAUUGAACAACUUAGAAUGGAGUAUAAAGAUUCUGCUAGCCUACCAAGAAUCCAAGACACAUUUUGUUUGUGUGAACACUUACUGAAACUUAAGAAUAAUCACUGUGACCAACUUACAGUAAAACUUAAACAAAUGGAAAAUAUGGUCAGUGUACUACAAAAUGAGCUAUCUGAAACAAAAAAGACAAAAUUACAGUUAGAACUUCAAAAAAUUGAAUGGGAGAAAGAGCUGUACGAUUUGAGGUUGUGCAGGAGAGAAACGAUGCCCAGAAGCAACUUUCUGAAGAACAGGAUGCCAGAAUAUUACAAGAUCAGAUUCUGACAAGUAAACAAAAGGAACUAGAAAUGGCUCAAAAGAAAAUGAAUUCUGAGAUUUCUCAUAGGCAUCAGAAAGAAAAGCAUCUCUUUCAUGAAAAUUGCAUGUUGCAGGAAGAAAUUGCCUUGCUGAGACUGGAAAUAGAUACAAUAAAAAAUCAGAACAAGCAAAA
ensembl:lncRNA CCDC144BP coiled-coil domain containing 144B, pseudogene